GCUCAAAAGGAGAAGGUCAGGACUGGGGUAGUUAUCGGAAGCGGAUAUGGCGGGUGGUUUAAAAUGAUAGUUGAGCAAACGAGUUCUGAAGGCCAAACAAAUUGGACUGAAAAUGAGUUUUACAUGCAGUACUGCAGUUUAGGAAGCGUUAGCUCAUGGUCGUGCCGAUCAGUUCGCCUUGGUCCCGCUGGGGGUUUUUUUCUAUCAGGAGUUUGGCGUCUAUUUGAUUUUUCCCCUCAUUCCUGGUUGGCUUGUCCCCUUUCCUGUGCACCUGCCUAAUCUCUGCCCAGCCAAGUACAUCACAAAAAUUAAUUGCAUAUUAAAACUGAAGAGACAAACUACAACCAAAGGCCGACAAUGCACCGAUCAGGAGGCCUGAAGACUGGGCUCGGGAAACGCGACGUAAAUGAAGAAAGCCCCCAAGUGUCCCAACGCUGCAGAGCCUGUCCCUGGGAGCCAGAGCCCAAAUGAGACUGAGUUACUGCUGCUGAAGAGGGGGGGUCCAGAUCAUAAACAUCUACACGCAUCACUACACGCAAACAUCGGGAUCAGAAUGGCAGUCAGCAGCCGUGCGGCGAGAAGAACAGCUGACCCUCGCUGCGAUUAAGUGAACGAAGCAGCCAGGGGCGUCCAGUCAAGAUGGAGCCAGCCCACCAUGAUUGAUUGCACCGGUUUGGCCUGCGCUGUCCGUGGUGCUGAACCGAUCCUGGUCCGGAGGGUGGUUUCCAGAAGCAUGAGAUCACUCGACGAGGACACAACAUCGAUUUUGCUACCGGUCCUUACAUCACCCAACGUUUGUUGAUGUUGGUUUUGGUUCUUGGUAAACCGUAGCCUCUGGUUGUGCAGCUCUGUGAAAAGAAAGGUGUGGCUUCAGAUAGAGGCAUUCAUGCAACUGAUACGAGAGCAGCACCUUCCAGGGAUACCGCCCCCCAAGCCAGUGUCCCCUUUACCAGCCAGAUUGCAUUACAGCGUUUGAUCUCGGUUCUGGGGAGAUAUUAUUCUUGCCUGAACUUCUUUACAGAUUUUGAAAGGAAACCAUGUUCUGCUCACAUUUUUACCUGCUGUGUUUUCAGCCUUUUAACUAUGAUUUAAUUAUUAAGGACCCCGCCACCAAAAGCACGCAUCUGGCAUCAUGCUAACAUCUAAAGUUUGCUGACAGUUUGUUUUAAUCAUUGUUUGAAUAACAUAACCCAUAUACAUCUUUAAUGAUCUUGGAUUGAAAUGAAAUGUUCUGAGGAAUGAGUUGGGUUAUGUUUUGAAGACCUGCGGUUUGUGCUACGCGUGCAGUAUGAACAUGAAGCUGGCAUGGAUAGCAUGCAGUCAUUAUUUUUCAGGCCUUCAGUUGGUUAUUUUUAGGGAGGCUGAAGUAAAUUGCUGCCAAAUAAUACAUUAAAAGGACUGGGCCAAGCCUGACCUGUAAUGUGCUAGACCACUUUCAUCAGCUGGGCCCUCUCCAGGCAUCGAAUACAGAACCUGCUUGCCUCCAGGCAUUCCUGCUUCAGGACAGACCAAAAUUAGGGGGUGGGGAGUUGACACACACACUUUCACUGAGAAGCAGACAAAGGAAUUUAUUUCUUUAUUUUACUUUUGAUGUGCUUUUUUCCACGAUUUCUUGAAAGUGUGUUGUUAUUAAAAUGGCCUAAUUUGACUUUCAUUUGUAGAGAAAGGUACGGAAAUGAUUAGUGUUUUUACGGGCCCUAAAAUGGUCAGCUGUUAAAACCAGGACUUGUUGUCAAGAGACAGAUAAAAAAAAAAACCAACACAGCCAGUUUGCCACCCAUAAACACUGCUGGUUGGGCUUAGUCAGCAAGGGAAGAGUAUGAGUGCACACUGCUAAGCAACCUAACACACUCUCACUCGAUGUGCCUGACACUCACAACUGCUCCCUGAGCCUGUUUCCUCUUUACCUCUAAAGCACAUAAAAACCCCGCCCACUGAGUCUGUUUCCUCUUUACCUCUAAAGCACAUAAAAACCCCGCCCACUGAGUCUGUUUCCUCCUUACCUUUAAAGCACAUAAAAACCCCGCCCACUGAGCCUGUUUCCUCUUUACUUCUAAAGCACAUAAAAACCCCGCCCACUGAGUCUGUUUCCUCCUUACCUUUAAAGCACAUAAAAACCCCGCCCACUGAGCCUGUUUCCUCUUUACCUCUAAAGCACAUAAAAACCCCGCCCACUGAGUUCGUUCACGCAGGAAAAGUUGACUCUCCCCGAUGAAGACUUUUCUUGCUGAUAUUAUUAUUAUUAUUGUUAUUUUUAUUCCAUUGUGGAGCAGCUCAUGGGCAAAUCUUGUAAUGAUUUAGUGUAACUAUCAUACUUAUUGCAUUUCUUUCUAACAACAUUGUUUUAUAUUUUAUUAAGAACCUGAAAUUGAACACCUGGGAAUGUGUUUGAACAUGCCAAACAUCUGCAAAUUGAUGGGAUUUACUGAGUAUAUUUAUAAAGGACUAAAUGACUGUUUCUAAAGGCGGAAAUAGAGCCUGUAUAUUUUAUCACUGGUCUGAUCAGGUCAUUUUGACCAGAACCAAUUAAACUCUAGUGUACAGAGACAACUGUGUUCUGCCAGUGUGACCUUUGACCCCAACAGGCAUUACUCAACCAGCCUCUCCUUCAGAGUGCAGCUGCUGGUUUUAGUAAUGAGGACAGAACCUCUGGCUCCUCCCACAGGGUUAAAAUAUAGUGAGCAAAGUCCCUUCUCUUUCAGAUGCCAAUGGAUAAUUUAAUGUUUUUACAGAACAGAUUUUUAAAAUUAUGUCAGAACAAUAUCUUUAACUGCCAAAAUCCCUAAUUCAGGUGCUUUGGUUUCAUUGCUGGAACUCUCUGUGCCCCCUGCACAUGUGAGUAAUAAAAUACCAGAGGAAUGUG